CCUACGGGUGGCUGCAGUAGGGAAUAUUGGUCAAUGGAUGGAAGUCUGAACCAGCCAUGCCGCGUGCAGGAAGAAGGCCUUCUGGGUUGUAAACUGCUUUUGCCAGGGGAUAAAAAGCUCGUGCGCGAGUUAUUGAAGGUACCUGGUGAAUAAGCCACGGCUAACUACGUGCCAGCAGCCGCGGUAAUACGUAGGUGGCAAGCGUUGUCCGGAUUUAUUGGGUUUAAAGGGUGCGUAGGCGGUCUAUUAAGUCAGUGGUGAAAUAUCGCAGCUUA
rnacentral:rRNA from 1 species